rnacentral:rRNA from 1 species
UACGGAGGGGGCUAGCGUUGUUCGGAAUUACUGGGCGUAAAGCGCGCGUAGGCGGAUUGUUAAGUCGGGGGUGAAAUCCCGGGGCUCAACCCCGGAACUGCCCUCGAUACUGGCAGUCUAGAGGUCGAGAGAGGUGAGUGGAAUUCCGAGUGUAGAGGUGAAAUUCGUAGAUAUUCGGAGGAACACCAGUGGCGAAGGCGGCUCACUGGCUCGAUUCUGACGCUGAGGUGCGAAAGCGUGGGGAGCAAACAGG